AUUUCAGAACAACUGUAGCUACCAGCAACCCCACCCCACCAAGGUUUUCAUCUUAAGAUUUUUCCUUGUGAUUGAAAACUUAAGGGAAAGUUGUGUUUCAUUUGUUAGCAUGACAUCUACUGGUGGAUUGAGGGAACAAACUGCCAAUAUCUGCAGCAAUUGGAGAACCUAGAAAAGUUCAAAAGAAAUAUGAAGGAAGGAAAUCUUCCCCAGUCAUCCUUAAUUGAGAGACUGAAAAUCUAAGCAAAAAGAAAACAGACACUCUUCAACACAAAGAAGAAAUACAAGGAUGGAAUGAAGCAUGCAUUUAUUAAGAGUCCAUUAUGUGUCCAUAAUUAUGCUAAGUCAUUUACAAGUAUUAUUUCAUUCAAUCCUCACAGUAACUCUGUCAGGAUUGGCGCACUCUCCAUUGAACCACUUAGUUGCCUAUGGAUUAAGAAAAUCUCAAGAUAAAAUUCCAGGAGGAGAAAAAAAUUACAAAAGUAUUACAAAUAGAACUCUGAACAUUUUAUGCAUUCAUGCAAUAUUCCUUUUAAAUGAACCUCCCUAUAUCUUCAACUCCACAAGGUUUCUUCUAUGAUAGUGUUAAAAUUUCUUUGUUGAAUGUACAUAUCCUUGGACUGUUAGAUUCCUGAUAUUUCUUAUGAGGGGGUCAUUCUAUGGCAUUGCUUAUUACUUAUUAUGUGAGCCAGGGAAUCCUGAAUAAUUUUGAUGUAUUUGGGGAGCUAUUUUCCUAUAAGAGUCUAUGAAGUAGCAUGUUCUAUCAAAUCAAAUGUUUUUUAUAAAUCAUAAACUGCAAAUUACCAGAAAAGAAUGUUAUUUUCACUAUAUCUUUACAUUAAUUGUAAGAUGGAAAAAGUUUUUAUUCUUUACUAUUUCCUAUGAAAGCUUUAUUGUUCUCUACUAAUAUUUUAUUAGAGAUGCCCUUGAAUCACAUAUAGAUAACAAAUAAAUAUAGAUGGGAGAGUUGUCA
rnacentral:lncRNA from 1 species